UGGGGAAUAUUGCACAAUGGGGGAAACCCUGAUGCAGCGACGCCGCGUGAGCGAUGAAGGCCUUCGGGUUGUAAAAAUCUUUUGUAUGGGAAGAAAAUGACAGUACCAUACGAAUAAGGACCGGCUAAUUACGUGCCAGCAGCCGCGGUAAUACGUAAGGUCCGAGCGUUAUCCGGAUUCAUUGGGCGUAAAGCGCGCGCAGGCGGCUCUUCAAGCGGAACCUCUAACCCCGGGGCUCAACCUCGGGCCGGGUUCCGAACUGGAGGGCUCGAGUGCGGUAGAGGCAGGCGGAAUUCCCGGUGUAGCGGUGGAAUGCGCAGAUAUCGGGAAGAAAACCGAUGGCGAAGGCAGCCUGCUGGGCCGGCACUGACGCUGAGGCGCGAAAGCUAGGGGAGCGAACAGG
rnacentral:rRNA from 1 species